rnacentral:tRNA from 1 species
GCGGGCGUAGUUCAGUGGCAGAACGUCUGCUUGCCAAGCAGAAGGUCGUGGGUUCGAAUCCCAUCGCCCGCU